rnacentral:rRNA from 1 species
UACGUAGGGCGCAAGCGUUGUCCGGAAUUAUUGGGCGUAAAGAGCUCGUAGGUGGCGUGUCGCGUCUGCCGUGAAAGCCCAUGGCUUAACUGUGGGUCUGCGGUGGAUACGGGCAGGCUGGAGGCUGGUAGGGGCAAGCGGAAUUCCUGGUGUAGCGGUGAAAUGCGCAGAUAUCAGGAGGAACACCGGUGGCGAAGGCGGCAUCCUGGACCGGGAUUGACACUGAGGCGCGAAAGCCAGGGGAGCAAACGGG